CAGCAGCCGCGGUAAUACGUAGGGUGCAAGCGUUAAUCGGAAUUACUGGGCGUAAAGCGUGCGCAGGCGGUUUUGUAAGACAGAAGUGAAAUCCCCGGGCUCAACCUGGGAACUGCCUUUGUGACUGCAAGGCUAGAGUACGGCAGAGGGGGAUGGAAUUCCGCGUGUAGCAGUGAAAUGCGUAGAUAUGCGGAGGAACACCGAUGGCGAAGGCAAUCCCCUGGGCCUGUACUGACGCUCAUGCACGAAAGCGUGGGGAGCAAACAGGAUUAGAGACCCGCGUAGUCCCUGUCUCUUAUAC
rnacentral:rRNA from 1 species